GCUGGACUGGAGGAUCCACACUGCAGACUGGAGACACUGAGGUUGUCCCUGGAGAGGGCAGUUAAGGUGCUGGAGUUGGAGGAGGAGGAAGCUACAAAAAACUGCCCAGUAGAGAAAGGUUUAAGAAAAUGCAUCCUGACGUACACGUUCCCUGCAUUGACCCACUUGCCAACGAUGUCUUGGCUGUGGUGAACCGCAUGAACCUCACUUUCCAAAAGGAAGAUAUGAACAUUUCCUCUAUCCAACCUGUCCUCAACAUGACCCUUGCUAAUCUAAAAGACUUGAUGAAUGAGCCAGGUAAGCAGUGUUAGAAUGUAAGCACAUAAGCUAGUACUUCAGUACAAAUUUAAGGCAUCCAGUUCUUCUUCAGUUGUUCUUUAUACUUCAUAUACCCCUCAGAGAAUAAUAUUAUAUUUUUACAACAUUAAAACUGUCUGACAGCUUUAUAGUCUAACUUUUUAAAUUCACAUCCUUCAUAAAAAGCCUCGUUAAAACACGUUAUUCCAGCAUUUUAUUUUUCACGAGAUGAAAGGUAAAGUCUUCCUUUAUAAGUCAAAGCCUUAUCUUAGAAUUAUAAAUAAAUCAUUCUUGAAACCAUAGGCUGGAACAAAA